rnacentral:rRNA from 1 species
UACGUAGGGUGCAAGCGUUAAUCGGAAUUACUGGGCGUAAAGCGCACGUAGGCGGAUCGAUCAGUCAGGGGUGAAAUUCCAGAGCUCAACUCUGGAACUGCCUUUGAUACUGUCGAUCUGGAGUACGGAAGAGGUGAGUGGAAUUCCGAGUGUAGAGGUGAAAUUCGUAGAUAUUCGGAGGAACACCAGUGGCGAAGGCGGCUCACUGGUCCAUUACUGACGCUGAGGUGCGAAAGCGUGGGGAGCAAACAGG